rnacentral:rRNA from 1 species
CACGUAGGGCGCAAGCGUUGUCCGGAAUUAUUGGGCGUAAAGAGCUCGUAGGUGGUUUGUCGCGUCUGCCGUGAAAGCCCGGGGCUUAACUCCGGGUCUGCGGUGGAUACGGGCAGACUAGAGGCAGGUAGGGGAGAACGGAAUUCCCGGUGUAGCGGUGAAAUGCGCAGAUAUCAGGAAGAACACCCGUGGCGAAGGCGGCUCUCUGGGACGGUACUGACGCUGAGACGCGAAAGCGUGGGGAGCGAACAGG